UACGUAGGGUGCGAGCGUUGUCCGGAAUUAUUGGGCGUAAAGAGCUCGUAGGCGGUUUGUCGCGUCUGCCGUGAAAGUCCGGGGCUCAACUCCGGAUCUGCGGUGGGUACGGGCAGACUAGAGUGUGGUAGGGGAGACUGGAAUUCCUGGUGUAGCGGUGAAAUGCGCAGAUAUCAGGAGGAACACCGGAUGGCGAAGGCAGGUCUCUGGGCCACUACUGACGCUGAGAAGCGAAAGCGUGGGGAGCGAACAGG
rnacentral:rRNA from 1 species